UACGGGGGGGGCAAGCGUUGUUCGGAAUUACUGGGCGUAAAGGGCUCGUAGGUGGCCAACUAAGUCAGACGUGAAAUCCCCAGGCUCAACUUGGGAACUGCGUCUGAUACUGGAUGGCUUGAAUCCGGGAGAGGGAUGUGGAAUUCCAGGUGUAGCGGUGAAAUGCGUAGAUAUCUGGAGGAACACCGGUGGCGAAGGCGGCAUCCUGGACCGGUAUUGACGCUGAGGCGCGAAAGCCAGGGGAGCAAACGGG
rnacentral:rRNA from 1 species